AGAGUUUGAUCCUGGCUCAGGACGAACGCUGGCGGCGUGCCUAAUACAUGCAAGUCGAACGAGAGCGACCGGUGCUUGCACUGGUCAAUCUAGUGGCGAACGGGUGAGUAACACGUGGGUAACCUGCCCAUCAGAGGGGGAUAACAUUCGGAAACGGAUGCUAAAACCGCAUAGGUCUUCGAACCGCAUGGUUUGAAGAGGAAAAGAGGCGCAAGCUUCUGCUGAUGGAUGGACCCGCGGUGCAUUAGCUAGUUGGUGAGGUAACGGCUCACCAAGGCCGUGAUGCAUAGCCGACCUGAGAGGGUGAUCGGCCACAUUGGGACUGAGACACGGCCCAAACUCCUACGGGAGGCAGCAGUAGGGAAUCUUCCGCAAUGGACGCAAGUCUGACGGAGCAACGCCGCGUGAGUGAUGACGGCCUUCGGGUUGUAAAGCUCUGUUAAUCGGGACGAAAGGCCUUCUUGCGAAUAGUUAGAAGGAUUGACGGUACCGGAAUAGAAAGCCACGGCUAACUACGUGCCAGCAGCCGCGGUAAUACGUAGGUGGCAAGCGUUGUCCGGAAUUAUUGGGCGUAAAGCGCGCGCAGGCGGAUCAGUCAGUCUGUCUUAAAAGUUCGGGGCUUAACCCCGUGAUGGGAUGGAAACUGCUGAUCUAGAGUAUCGGAGAGGAAAGUGGAAUUCCUAGUGUAGCGGUGAAAUGCGUAGAUAUUAGGAGGAACACCAGUGGCGAAAGGCGACUUUCUGGACUGUUACUGACACUGAGGCACGAAAGCGUGGGGAGCAAACAGGAUUAGAUACCCUGGUAGUCCACGCCGUAAACGAUGAGCACUAGGUGUCGGGGUCGCAAGACUUCGGUGCCGCAGUUAACGCAUUAAGUGCUCCGCCUGGGGAGUACGCACGCAAGUGUAAAACUCAAAGGAAUUGACGGGGACCCGCACAAGCAGCGGAGCAUGUGGUUUAAUUCGAAGCAGCGCGAAGAACCUUACCAGGACUUGACAUCCUCUUGACAGAUCCUUAAUCGGAUCCUUCUUCGGACAAGAGAGACAGGUGGUGCAUGGUUGUCGUCAGCUCGUGUCGUGAGAUGUUGGGUUAAGUCCCGCAACGAGCGCAACCCUUGCCAUUAGUUGCCAUCAUUUAGUUGGGCACUCUAGUGGGACUGCCGGGGAAAACUCGGAGGAAGGUGGGGAUGACGUCAAAUCAUCAUGCCCCUUAUGUUCUGGGCUACACACGUGCUACAAUGGCCGGUACAACAGGCAGCGAACCCGUGAGGGGGAGCGAAUCCCAAAAGCCGGUCCCAGUUCGGACUGUAGGCUGCAACUCGCCUACACGAAGUUGGAGUUGCUAGUAAUCGCGGAUCAGAAUGCCGCGGUGAAUGCGUUCCCGGGUCUUGUACACACCGCCCGUCACACCAUGGAAGUUGGGGGUGCCCGAAGUCGGUUAGUUAAUCUAUCGCCUAAGGCAAAACCAAUGACUGGGGUGAAGUCGUAACAAGGUAACC
rnacentral:rRNA from 1 species